GCCGUCGCCAACUCGCCGAGGAGGUCAGGAGGAGGAGAAGAGUAGGAGACGGAGAGGGAGAGGGAGAUAGUGAGAUACCUCGAGCCUGGAGGUGGAACUCGGAGACGGGUUGCUGGACAGAGUGACAGACUCUCCAACCCCGAGUUCGGCGGCCCUGCAACAGCCGAGGUGGAUGAGGGAGAGAAUCGAACGGAGGCCCUGCAACAGCCGAGGUUGAAGCCAAAUUGGGCAGGUGGACCUGUACAAGACCGCUUCCGAUCCUUGUAUCGUGGGACGGCUUCUUUGUUAUAGAUCUUGGAUUGGAUGCAAUCCAUUUGAGAGAAGCUGAUGGCUGAGGAUUGAGGGCUGAGGAUAGUGAGUAUAUUGAGAUCCAGUAGUGAUAGCUGAGGAUUCGUGAGAGAGUUGGCGGUCAC
rnacentral:lncRNA from 1 species